AACGAACGCUGGCGGCGUGCCUAACACAUGCAAGUCGUGCGAGAAAGUUCCUUCGGGAGCGAGUAAAGCGGCGCACGGGUGAGUAACACGUAGGUAACCUGCCCCCCAGUCUGGAACAACUAGAGGAAACUCUAGCUAAUGCCGGAUGAGACCACGAUCCCUUCGGGGGUUGCGGCCAAAGAUGGCCUCUACUUGUAAGCUAUCGCUGAGGGAUGGGCCUGCGGGCCAUUAGCUUGUUGGUGAGGUAACGGCUCACCAAGGCUGUGAUGGCUAGCUGGUCUGAGAGGAUGACCAGCCACACUGGGACUGAGACACGGCCCAGACUCCUGCGGGAGGCAGCAGUGGGGAAUAUUGCGCAAUGGGCGAAAGCCUGACGCAGCGACGCCGCGUGGGUGAUGAAGGCCUC
rnacentral:rRNA from 1 species